UUGCAGCAGCACAUAUACUAAAAUUGGAACAAUACAAAGAAGAUUAGCACGGCCCCUGCCCAAGGAUGACAUGCAAAUUUGUGAAGCAUUCCAUAUUAAA
rnacentral:snRNA from 1 species